AAAGCCAGCAUGCGAACAUUCCAGCAUGACAAUUCAAUCUCGUUUACUGUUGAUAAGCCUGAUAACUUUUACACACCGAUGACCGUUGUAUGUCAUUCAAAUGCUACCAACACCAACGGACGGACGGAUGAUUGUUUACCCAAAGGUUUUGCACGCAGACAAUCAGUCGGAGCUCCGAUUGUGAAUGUCGCAGCAGAUGCUAAAAUCGUGAUUUACGCUUUCCGCCAUACCCGGGCAUGGCACCCGCAGCCGCAAGGCAUUUAAUCGCUUUGCGCCGGACUGCUCCGAAACCAAAACCCCGACCGAUUGAGCAAUUAUUGGCGCAACCGGAUUCCGGCACCGGAACUGAAACCUCAGUACGCGAUUGCGUUUCAGAGUAGCGACGGGAGUUCCGUUUUCUCGCCAGCGUUCUCCGAGAUGCUGCACAGCUUGUUCAAACCCCGCAAGGCGCGUUGCGCUGCGUACCCUUGGCACAACAAGACGAGUGAGGAACGGCAAGGGCUAGGAGCCGCAAGAUUUGAAUAAACACAAUCCACCGGCAGAGCGCGCAGAUUCGUAGACCUCCCAACUUUGCCGCGAAUCAGGCGCUGCAAUAUGCGUACAUUUCCCCCCUCCCGUCAAUCCAUCCAAAUGCAAAAUAGCCGCAGGAAUAGGAUUUAACCAACACCACCGUACCACAAACACACACACACACACGGUCUAAUCCAUUCGCAACUUGCACAAACGCCACGGGCGAUGGAAUGAAAAAAAAGAUUUUCUAAAGCUCUGGUCCCAUUUCUUCGUGCAAUGGUGCGUAUGCGUAAAGACUGGGCGAGGACGGCAACUGCCACGAAGCGGGAUUUUGCUCACACGUAGCUCUUGGAGCACUCAGAUCAUUGCAAAGGAAUCGUGUCGCUGGCAGGACUUUUAACUACGGUAAUUCUCCACCUCAUCCAUAUUCCCCAUGCGUCUUGAGGAGGUAAUUCAUCAGCUUGCCAAGCACAAGGAAGAUAGAUGUUCUGUGUGUGUGUGCACUUUUUUGCCAACCUACCAGCAGCCAGUGUGGUCGGUUGCGCGCGAAAAUCUCGACUGUUGAAGUCAAGAGGGACGCCUUUGUCAGGACUUCUUCUCCGGCAUCGGUGUGUGAUUUCUUUGCGUUUUGUUCUAUUUUGCAAUGUGUGUUUGGAGGCUCAUGGUUGGUCUGUAGUCUGUCCCUAUCCCUUAACCUUGAAUUUUUCCUUUUUUUGCGCUCCAUUAUUACAACAACAGUCGGGGCCACCGAGUUGCAGAGUGUCAGGUAAUCUUUGAAUGCAUCGUUUUUACUUGUGCUACUUCAGCUAUUGAAGAUAUUUAGAAUAAAUUUGGGAUGUAGUUAGGAAUAAAUUACAGCACAACACGAUCGAAGUGUAACGAUAAUGACCAGGCAUUAUCCAUUGAUUUCCACACUUGACAAAACAUCAUUUUUAGAAAGACAGUUAUUCUCCUGUUUUCUUUUGAUAAUUAUAAUAUCUCAACAGAAAUAUGUAAUACAGAAGACCAGAACACCUUUGCUUUAUACAUGUACACCGACCCGACCGUCUUAUACAUACCCCCCCGAAUGUAAGAACGUAUAUAAACCGAGAAAUUUCACAGCUGUGCUGAGAAGAAGGAAAACAAACUAACGCAACUUGCCCGGAGGAGGAACGUACACACACACACACACACGAAACGUCACUAGCAGGCUAAGGCGGCCCGAGGAGAGGCAGAACGCAGACGAUGGAUGAUGAAUGAGUAAAAGUGAAAGAAAAUACAAUGAAAGGUAAAUUGCGUUUGUUUGUCUGGUGAUUUUGAUCCAAUUUCAUCCCUUUUUGGGAUAGAAGACAUCCGGCGGAACUCGGUCGGCCAGACGUUCGCCAAUCCCCUGUAACGAACCGUAUUCAGCAACGAUGUGUAAGACAGAGGAGGACUCGAUGUGUGUUUGCACCUUGAGGAAGGCAAGUAGUCGAACACCUUUUACCAAUGCUUUUCAUAGGUUUGGCGAGAUUCUUGUACUGAACAUAUGAUCAUGCACAACUCUAACAAAGAAGGAGGAUCAAGGAGAAAUUUACAGACAGACUGUUAUCAGGAAUAUAUUUCUCAAACACCAUUUGUUUUGUAAAAAUGAGGUUGAAACGCUAGGAAAUUAUAACUAUCAAUUUCGAUGGUGGGAUGGUAACUGUGAUUACAAAUGCUAUGUAGGUCCUUGUUACAACUUUCCCAGCCAUGAUCUGUUUCUACUUCUUAAACUAAUUUUUAAAGCUCAAUUCCAGGGAGUUUCUGCAGCUCUACAGCUAUCCCCAUACAAACGAGAAGCGAGAGCGCGAUAUCUUGGCUACCUUACUAUAUACCGCCAAAACAUGCCCUUACAAGACCGGAGAAGACAGCGUACUACCAGCUGCAAAAAUUGCGGCAGAAAAGCAAAAUUGCACACGCUGAUGAAUGAAAAGCGACCUUUCAAAUAUCCGGUUCUGUUGCGUGAUGCUCACACAAUACCCGAUGUGCUAUGCGGCGGCCAAGAAGGUCCAAGAAAAAAAGGGCACAGUCUUACCGAGGCCAGCGAAAUAAAGAAAAAAAAGUGCAAGUCUGCCAAAAUGAUCACACAAUGAAGCCCAACCAUGCGUAGAAAACGGAACAGCGCAUAAGGCAGGAUCGGUCCGUGAAGAUGUACUUCACCCCUCGAGAAUCGGGGUACAACCUGAAUCGAAUGUUGCUACACGCCAUUCCGUCCGUACGGCUUGGGAUGUAAAACUUACCAUCACCGAAUGCCGGCAGCAGCAGCAGCAGCAUCCAGCUGGUCCAGGCCAGCUAGAGCCAGGUUAAAAUCUUUAAGCCUUCCUAUAUCCUUCGGCGAGAAAGGAGAUCGUGCCGGCAUACGACGCACAACCCCAGGGGCAAGUAAACGCGGGCAGCGCGCCAACAUCGCAUCGCUUGACUGGAAGAAGUGAACGGCUGAAGGAGUACACGGAGUUUUGCCGUCCGUGUACGCGUCGGGCUCGACUUGAGCUAGCAAGUCUGCAAAUGAAAUAAAUAUUUAAAACGCAUUCUAUACUCAUUUCGCCGUGCCAACAGCUAAUCGUACCAAUGUUAAACCAAUUACGCUUAACAUUCGUUUGUGUCGCGUAACUCAAAGCUGGUUUUAAAAUUAACCACAUAAAAAUGGACUGCCCUGUCGUCUAAAUUAUGAGCUGAUUGAAACGCCUCUAAUAGUACCAAUAUGCAUGCAGUGUUCAAACGUACCUGGGUAAUCUCUCAUGGUAGUUCCACCAUCAUGUUCCAAACCUCCCGUUGCUGCCACACACCCAUAUUUAUUCCAUAAGCCAAAACUGACUGCAAAUCACAAUGAUUAACUCUUUAAUGCUACUCUUGUUCCGUUUACACAUCAAUCAGGGUGUUGCAGAUUGUGUAUCAUCGAAGGUAGGGUCCCUUAGUCAUUGCGUGUUUCAUACACGCCCCUGCUGGUCACCCUAACGCAUCGAAAAGCUGGUUCAUGCUGAACCCGUACGGAAGUGUGCCAAUAUUUAUGCGCUCCUCGCACUGGCGAAUAUUAUUUGUAUUUCGGUGGUUUUGAAUGCACCGUCUGGGAAAGAGAAUUUGUGUUUUUUUUUUACCUUACUUUUGCAACCAUGAUCAACUCGAAGUGUGUGGGUAACUGAGAGAUCGUUUCAUCGGCACCUAACACACAGGCAAAGGGUUACACCCUCCUCUUUGGAUGAAGCCAAACACUUCGACAUUCAUACUGUGUUCGAAAAUAUGUUAAAAGGGAUGGAUACAUGAUCAGUUUUUGACAUGGAUUGGUGCCUUUGACUUGUCAUCAACGUUCAACGAGUCCUGCCUUUCUGCGGGACGCAUAGGAACACUGAGGCGCAACGUAGUAUAAUGAACCCUCGUUGACAUCAGCAGCACCAACUGCGUCAUGUAAAGGAACACCCGACACACUGAUUGUCUUUUCCGAAAUUCCGGCCACAUUUAUUUGAGACCAAUGUGCCAAUGCUUGCGAUGGCCUAUGACUGCGCACAAUUGUGCUUGUCUACUGUACAUACAUACGGUACCCUCCCAGAAGCAAACAGGAACGGUUUCACCCAUCAAAUCUCGAUGGGUCCCUGCGAGGAACAAAGCAACGGAGCAAUAGAUAGUCCACCGCGCUUAAUCCUCCUAGGUUUGAGCUGGACACAGCUGAAUUCUGUCGGCGUCAAGAUUUCGGUCCGGCCAGCACUGCCGUCCCAGCAGUGAAUGAACACAGUUGGUGAGACUAAAUCCGUAAGGUAAGACAACAAUCCUGUUGUUCGCAGAGACUUGAAUCGAAAAAAGAUCACAACUAAUGACACCCUACAACGGAAGAAGUGUUGAAGCGUAUCCUAUUCCUGCACACCGAACCGGAAUAUGCCUUCGCUUUGUGAGCAUGGUUGUUUAACGGUUUUUUUGUUGUGCAUCAACAGGUUUAGAAACACAAGCAAACUAAAAGCUCGCCCAUGAAGCAUUCAAUACCAAGCGGAUAGACAAGUUCAUUAAUUAUCAUUGAAUUAUCAAUUCGAUGCUAGACCGUACAGAUUUGGUUAAGGUCUCCCUUUCGCCUAUUUUAACAGGUAUUUAAGAGCAACAAGUACCCUUCUCCUCCCUAAAUGCGAAAGGAAACAAAUGCUACAAAUAGCUUUUCAUUAGCAUACAAACUAUCAAUCGCUUCGCUGUGUUCGCGUUGCUUUGCGAAUUGCGAUCGGUCGAUAGUGGGUUUUGCGGAACCCUUUGCCGAACCUACGCCCGAGCGCAACGGAAACAGAUUUCAAGAAUUGCAUUCGCGAAUGUUACCACACAAUUCAAUUGAUGAAAUACUCAGAACAAUUCGACGUGCAAAUACAAUGGAAACAGUUUGCCCCAAUUGCACUCACACAAUGCCUGGUGUUCCUUACCGUCCGUCCGUCAACCCCCGUGCGAUUUAUUCGCUGGCACGUUCUCAAAUCCUACGUUAACGAGUUUAAUCUGUAAAUUUAUAGCACAUCGUUAGGCCGAGCAUGGUGGUGCCAGCGUUGGCAGGAAGCAUUAGAAUAAUGCCUAACAAUUCCUACAUGAUGGUCAUUUGGUAAAUUCAAUUUGUAUAGAUUUUAGGCUUGGAUGGCAACAGACACAGCAGGAUAAAAUUUUUUCAAGGAAAGGAAGCCCUAAACUUUCGCUAAGCUAACCAUUCACCGGUCCGGGCCGAAUACCUCACUAGUUGUAGGCUCAAAUCUAAUGUUUUUUAUAAUCUACUUUUGGAGCAUACAUAUGAAGGGAGCGAUACGGUUUUACGAUUAUUUAUUGCUGCUUAUUUCCCUGCCGUUCGGGAUAUGAUUUUAUAUAUCUUGAAUGUUUGCAAAACUGGCAAAUGAUCUAUGAGACUCUAAGUUUUAUAAAUAAUUUGAUAAGUAAUUUAUAAAACAGGAAGA